UAAAACGCGACACCGAAGCAGCGGGAUGCGUAAGCAUCGGUAGAGGAGCAUUGUGUGAGGAUAGAAGCCAGAGCGGGAGCACUGGUGGACUUCACAGAAGAGAGAAUGCCGGUAUGAGUAGCGAGACCCAUGCGAGAAACAUGGGCGUCGAAGGCCCAAGGUUUCCUGGGGAAGGUUCAUCCACCCAGGGUAAGUCGGGACCUAAGCCGAGGACUGAGGUCGUAGGCGAUGGACAGCAGGUAGAGAUUCCUGCACCACUUACACUUGUUAGACGAAGCAGUGACACAGAAGGAUAGGACGAGCGCGGUGAUGGUCAACCGCGUAGGCGGCACGAGGCUGGGGAGCAGUAAAGUACACUUCCCGUGAAGGCUGAGUGCUGACAGGACCGAAAAAGAGUAGGGAAGCGUCUGAGUUCACGCUGGCGAGAAAAGCUGCUAAGGAGAGUGUGAGUGCCCGUACCGGAAACCGACGCAGGUGGGCGAGGAGAGAAUCCUGAGACGGACGGGAGAACUCUUGUUAAGGAACUCGGCAAAAUGACCCCGUAACUUCGGGAGAAGGGGUGCCUCGAAAGAGGCCGCAGAGAAUAGUCACAAGCGACUGUUUAGCAAAAACACAGGUAUCUGCGAAAGCGAGAGCUGACGUAUAGGUGCUGACGCCUGCCCGGUGCUGGAAGGUUAAGGGGAAGUGUUAGGGGAAACCCGAAGCAGAGAACCGAAGCCCCAGUAAACGGCGGCCGUAACAAUAACGGUCCUAAGGUAGCGAAAUUCCUUGUCGGGUAAGUUCCGACCCGCACGAAUGGCGUAACGACUUGUGAGCUGUCUCAACAGGAGGCCCGGUGAAAUUGAAGUAUGUGUGAAGAUGCACAUUACCCGCAACUGGACGGAAAGACCCCGUAGAGCUUUACUGUAACCUGACAUUGGAUCUUGAUAACGGAUGCACAGGAUAGGUGGGACGCUGGGAGGUAUGGACUUUGGUCUGUACGGAGCGGACGUUGGGAUACCACUCUUCUGUUAUUGAGAUUCUAACCUCAAGCCGUAAGCCGGAUGAGAGACAGUGUCAGGCGGACAGUUUGACUGGGGCGGUCGCCUCCGAAAGAGUAACGGAGGCGCCCAAAGGUACCCUCAGAAUGGAUGGAAACCAUUCGAAGAGAGCAAAGUCAGAAGGGUGCUUGACUGCGAGACCAACAAGUCGAGCAGGUACGAAAGUAGGGCUUAGUGAUCCGGCGGUAAGAGAGUGGAAUUGCCGUCGCUCAACGGAUAAAAGCUACCUCGGGGAUAACAGGCUGAUCUCCCCCAAGAGUUCACAUCGACGGGGAGGUUUGGCACCUCGAUGUCGGCUCGUCGCAUCCUGGGGCUGAAGCAGGUCCCAAGGGUUUGGCUGUUCGCCAAUUAAAGCGGCACGCGAGCUGGGUUCAGAACGUCGUGAGACAGUUCGGUCCCUAUCCAUCGUGGGCGAAGGACACAUGAGAGGAGCUGCUCCUAGUACGAGAGGACCGGAGUGGACGCAUCACUGGUGCAACUGUUGUCGUGCCAACGGCACAGCAGGGAAGCGAAAUGCGGAUGGGAUAACGCUGAAGGCAUCUAAGCGUGAAGCCCACCUCAAGAAUAAGUGUCCCAUUCGAAAGAAGUAAGACCCCUGGAGGACUACCAGGUGAUAGGUCAUCGGUGAAAGAGCGGUAACGUUUGGAGCUUGAUGAUACUAAUCGGUCGAGGACUUGAUC
rnacentral:rRNA from 1 species